CAAUAUGAUAAGAAGAUCGCAUCAGCAUGGCAGCUUCUGUCAUCACAGUGUGAAUGUGAAGUGUUGUUGAACACUUUGAGGGUCAGUAGACUGCAGCACCACACAACGACAAGGUCUAACAGAAGAUAAUCUACAGGAGCUUUUACCUACCAUACAGUACUGUGCUUGAUCAGCGUGGCCGGCUCUUCUCUACUGAUCGGUGUGCAGGCUACUCAAGGCACCAGCACAUUAGAUGGAUGUGGAUUUCUGCUGAACUUUUCCAUCAUCAUCAUCAUCAGGAGGUAUUUGGGGUUCAGUCGCUUGCUCAAGAACACUUCGACAUGCAGCCAGGGGAGCCGAGGUGCUGAACCAGCAACCCUCUGAUUUCCGGACGAUCCGCUGUGCUUCCUCACCAGAUUCACCUGAGUGUUCUCUGAACGCAGAGGCUGCUCUGUGGGGUGCCAACCUGUUCAUCUGGACGGGUGCAGUGUCAUCAGAGUGAGAAGGUUAAAGCUGGAGCGCAGGGAAUCUGCACAAGCAACAUCUCUACUGAUGGCAAACGUACAGUAGAAGCCGAAGCAGAGCAAACCACACACAGUGUGUCCAAACAUCCAAAAGUGAAAUCAGUGAGUCGAACUCUCAGAUUAACAGAGUUCAGUCUUGAAUAAGGAUAAUAGAUGUUAGGAGUCUGUAAUUACAAGAAACGGACACUAACGGUCAUCUUUAUUUGAUUUAUCUGAAACACAUCACAUGUAGAUUAAAGCCAAGCUGUUCUUUCAAACAACAAAAAAAGUUUAACAAAUCAUUUAUUCCAUAAAAAAAACACAUAUUUCAAAAUCAUUUACAAAAUGCAUCAGAUAGAAUCAUCACGGCUGCAGUGUUUUUAUUUCAUCAUGUGCGUCUUCUUCCCUUUAGUCUCGAGUCAGACACCUUCAAUCUUCACUAAGAGAACAUUUCAUCACAUCUGUUCUCUGCAUACUGAAGUGUGAAAUCAAGUCAAUAAAUUAAUCACAAUAUUCACAGCAUAGUGUAAAUUAGUAACCCACA